GUCGGAGUGGCGAAAUGGCAGACGCGCAGGUUUUAGGAACCUGUGGGGUAACCCAUGGAGGUUCGACUCCUCUCUCCGACA
rnacentral:tRNA from 3 species